GUAUUAUUCAGAAGACAAAGGCCUCCAUUUUUCAAAGACCCAUCUUCCACUCUCUUACUCAUGUUUUCAUGAUAACAGUGGUGGUACGAUUAGUGGUGCGUUUGGUGGUGGGGGACACUGAUCUCGGUGGUGGUGGGCGACGCUGAUCUCGGUAAAGGCGGUGGUGGUCAAGGCGGGCGGCAAAUAUCUGAGUUGUGGUACUCGGCUCCUCAACUACAUUUGGUGAUCCUUAAAUUUUAUUUUUGGUCAUGAAAUUUCAUCAUUGAGCAAUUUGAAGAAAGACGAGAGAUGAAGUUGAACUAUUAAUUCUCAAGACCCUCGCAUAGUCUCACUCAAAUUCUCAAUGAAAUGUUGAUGUUUUAUUUUGAAUGAUUUCCUUUUGAAGCUUUAUUAGAUUUUGGUGUUUUCUUUUGAACAUUUUAUUAGCACUUGACAUUUUGAAACAAAACUUAUAUGUUAUGGAUGUUAUUGAAUUUUAAUGUAACUUUUUUAUAUGUUAUAUAUCAAAUUUAAGUU